GACGAACGCUGGCGGCGUGCUUAACACAUGCCAGUCGAACGGAAAGGCCCCCUUGUGGGGUACUCGAGUGGCGAACGGGUGAGUAACACGUGAGUAACCUACCCUUGACUUUGGGAUAACUUCAGGAAACUGGGGCUAAUACCGGAUAGGAGCUCCUGCUGCAUGGUGGGGGUUGGAAAGUUUCGGCGGUUGGGGAUGGGCUCGCAGCUUAUCAGCUUGUUGGUGGGGUAGUGGCUCACCAAGGCUUUGACGGGUAGCCGGCCUGAGAGGGUGACCGGCCACAUUGGGACUGAGAUACGGCCCAGACUCCUACGGGAGGCAGCAGUGGGGAAUAUUGCACAAUGGGCGGAAGCCUGAUGCAGCAACGCCGCGUGCGGGAUGACGGCCUUCGGGUUGUAAACCGCUUUCGCCUGUGACGAAGCGUGAGUGACGGUAAUGGGUAAAGAAGCACCGGCUAACUACGUG
rnacentral:rRNA from 1 species